rnacentral:rRNA from 1 species
GUAGGUGAACCUGCGGAAGGAUCAUUAACGAGUUAGGGUCUUCUAGGCCCGACCUCCCAACCCUUUGCUUAUUGAACCAUUGUUGCUUCGGUGGGUCCGUCUAACGACCGCCGGGGGACCGCCGCGAGGCGCCCCUUGGCCCGCACCCGCCGACAGCCCAACUCUAAAUCCUUUAUGAAUCGUGUCCUAUGUCUAAAUCAUGAUUAAAAAUCAAAACAAAACUUUCAACAACGGAUCUCUUGGUUCUGGCAUCGAUGAAGAAYGCAGCGAAAUGCGAUAAGUAAUGCGAAUUGCAGAAUUCCAGUGAGUCAUCGAAUCUUUGAACGCACAUUGCGCCCUUUGGUAUUCCGAAGGGCAUGCCUGUUCGAGCGUCAUUAUCACCCCUCAAGCCCCGUGCUUGGUGUUGGACGGCCGGUCGAGGGCCCCCUCGACCCCUCCUAAAGACAACGACGGCGGCCUGUGGUUCCCCCGGUAYACUGAGCUUCUUACCGAGCACGUACCGGACGAGGGCACCCAGGACCCGGUCUUCUCCUCUCACGAGGAAAUUUUUUCAAGGUUGACCUCGGAUCAGGUAGGAAUACGCGCUGAACUUAA